AUUGUCUGAUUCUGAUUGUCACCUGUCGAUUGUAGAGUGUAUACAAUAAUAAUAUGAAUCAUAAUGAUAUUAUCGCGUUUGUUUCCCGCCGUAAUCGCGUAAAAAUGUAAUCGGCAUUCGAAUAUUCUAUGUACCUAUAUAAUAAUAUACUCGUACCUAUAAUAGUCGGCAUAUUAUUACAAUGAUAUGAUAUUGUCAUAUAUAUAUUUGACGGUAGCACACGGAAAUCGUGGAGAUGAUGAUUUUCGCCGACAAUUUGUAUACGUUCGUGAUUUGUUCCAUUUCGAGUUCGGUAAAUGCCAAAAGGUCGAUCGAGGGUGGGGUCACCUCGUCACAGAUAGUUUAGUUUAAAAUAUAAUAAAAACACCUACGAUAAGAACCCUACUUAUUAACUAGUUAUUUACCGGUUUUUCUGUACUUAUAUUUUCUUUUUCUCAUUGGAAUUCUUUUGUGGUUUAGACUUUUUACUUUAUGUGAUAUGUUUUUUUCUUUUUUGUUAAUGCAUAAAUACAUUAUAUUAUGUUUUUAAAUUUAGCAACUAUUUUUUUAUGUACCUAUUUUUUUACUCUGAAGUUUGAAGGUUGUUGUUUUAACUAUAUUAAAUUAUCUAUUUUCAAUUAUUGGUUUUUUUUUUUUUUGGUACUUAAUAACUAACAUAUGUUAUCAAUAAGAAAUUAAUUUAUGGAAUUCGAGUGAAAACAAAAAAUACACUAAGUUUUCUGUAUUUAUUUAAUAAACACAUUAUACAUAUAUUUAUAUUGUCUGCUAAUUUAAAUAUCUUUGUUAAAAAUAGAAUAUUCAUAAAUCAUAAUAGGAUAUUAUUCAAAUGCUAAUCGUCUAAUAUUUGAAAUAUUAUUGAGUUAUUGCAACUGAAACUGUAUAAGUUAACAUGCAUAUUCGUUCACAACAACUAAUUACGUAGGUAGUGUUUUUUCUUAACACGCGAGAUGUCGGAUUAUUAAGUAUUCAAAAUAUUAUUUAGGUAGUUUGAUCUUGUACACUCUACAAUCGAACACAGACAGUAAUUUCGUUCAAACUAGGUUAUCAUUUUCUUAUUUAUUUCGUAUCGAAUUUAGCUAGGAAGGUAACGAAAACCAAUUAUAUGGAAUUUUCCUUUUUGACGUCUAAGUAACAUUAUCUACCCCGAUUCGAACGGUUUAGUGGUAUGUCAUUGUCUUCUGCUAGCUGUGGUGGUACUCACGUUUGUGUUAUUAUAUUAUGGUAACGAGAACUAGAUGAUCUUAAAUGGGUGUUACGGUUAAGAGCCUGUGGCGCGGUGAUUAUGGUAGUGAACAAAUCUGCGGGCGGUCGUACGCUCUCGCUGAGUACAACUGCCAACGGCACUGCUGCAGCGGUGGCGGGUAACCUGCAAUCCGGCGUACCGUUUCUGCCCAAAAGCCCAAGCUUCCAUAGUGGUUUGGAUCUGCUUGCUGGCCGUGAAAAAUCUCCAAUCAUUAUGUUUUGCGAUCCAACAAUGCAUUUGCCCAGGCUUCAUGAAGCCAAUGCAUCUGAAAGAGAACAGUUGCUUAUUCAAAAAAUGCAACAGUGCUGUGUGUUAUUUGACUUUAUUUCGGAUCCACAGUCUGAUCUUAAAUGGAAAGAAAUCAAGCGAGAAACAUUACAUGAAAUGGUAGACUAUUUGUCAUCAAAUCACAGUAGUAAUGUGCUUACUGAAGCUAUAUAUCCUGAAGCUGUAAGAAUGUUUGGAGUAAAUUUAUUCCGUAGUCUGCCUCCAUCAAGUAAUCCCAAUGGGGCAGAGUUUGAUCCAGAAGAGGACGAACCUCUAUUAGAAGCAGCCUGGCCUCAUUUACAACUAGUAUAUGAGUUCUUUCUUAGAUUUUUAGAGUCUCAAAACUUUAAUCCCCAUUUAGCUAAAAACUAUAUUGAUCAGAAAUUUGUUCUUCAGUUGUUAGAGCUAUUUGAUUCAGAAGAUCCACGAGAGAGAGACUUUUUGAAAACUAUACUACAUCGGAUUUAUGGUAAAUUUUUAAGUUUGCGAGCAUACAUAAGAAAACAGAUAAACAACAUAUUUUAUAGUUUUAUAUAUGAAACAGAACAUCAUAAUGGCAUUGCAGAGCUUUUAGAAAUCUUAGGAAGUAUUGUCAAUGGUUUUGCAUUGCCUUUGAAAGAGGAGCACAAGGUAUUCUUGUUAAAAGUUUUACUGCCGUUACACAAAGUGAAAUCUUUAUCUGUGUAUCAUCCACAACUGGCUUAUUGUAUUGUACAGUUCCUUGAAAAAGAUCCAUCUCUUACAGAACCAGUUAUCAGAAGUUUGUUAAAGUUUUGGCCUAAAACACAUUCCCCAAAAGAAGUCAUGUUUCUUAACGAAUUAGAAGAAAUUUUGGACAUAAUUGAACCAUUGGAAUUUCGAAAAGUGCUUAAACCAUUAAUACAUCAAUUAGCUAGAUGUGUCUCCAGUCAACAUUUUCAAGUUGCAGAAAGAGCACUUUACUUUUGGAACAAUGAGUACAUAAUGUCACUGAUGUCUGAGAAUGUUGAUGAAAUUUUGCCAAUCAUGUUUCCAGUGUUAUACAAAAAUUCUAAAACUCAUUGGAAUAAAAAUAUACAUGGUCUAAUGUACAAUGCAUUGAAAAUAUUUACUGAAACUAAUCCUGUACUAUUUCAUACGUGCACCCAACAAUUCAAAGAAGAUAGGAAGACUGAAGUGGAUAAGUUAAAGAAACGAGAUGAAAAGUGGCAUCGAGUUGAAGAGUUGGCUAAAAGGAAUCCCAAUUUUACAGUAUCCAUUGAUAAUAGUUUGUCAUUUUAUACUGACUUUGCAAGGUCGCCAAUUAACGAUUUAGACCCGACUAUUGAUUUGAAAAGUUUAGAAGAGGAUACCAAGUAUCAUAUUGAUACAGAUAACCGUAAAAAUCGAAAAGAAAAACCUUUAUUGAGGCGUAAAUCUGAAUUACCACAUGACACAUACACUUUGAGGGCAUUAAAUGAUCAUAAGAGAGCCGAUGAAUAUCUAGCUACACCUCCUGAUGUUAAUAAAUGCUAGCCAAUUGUUUCAAUUGUGAUGGCUGUUUUAUUUCUAUACACAGAGUCUAAACAACUAAGGAUUACUCAAAAAAAAAAAAAAAGUUAUAAUGGUUAUUCAUCUCAUUAGGGGUCAUUUAAAUGUUGAGUUUAUCUUUGUUAGGAUUAACAUGUUAUAAGUAGUUCAACCACCAAUUUUUCAAUAUGUGAAUGAAGAAAGUCAUGUGAAGUGAACACUCUUAUCUACUUCGGUUGUGUUAUUUAUUUUUAAAAUAAACAUAAAAUGUGUCAUUUAUUUUUUUAUUUAUUUACCACAGUAUAUUAGUUUUAAUUUUUGCUUCUAUGAAAGUAUACAUUUUUAAAUGUUACAUAACAAGACACAAAAAUUAAGAGAGAUUGCAUUCAAGAAUAAGUUUAGGGAUUUUUUUAUUAAUUCUCUUGUUGGUUUAUUAUUAUUAUUAUUAUGAUUAUUACUAUUAUUAUUUUAUUAUUCCUUUUUUAACUUAUAUUUUUUUUUUCAUGCAGAUGUAAUAAAACAUGUUUUGUACAUAAAAAAGUGGCUACAUUUUAUUAGUAUAUAUUCAUUUUUAGCAUACAUGAUAUAAUAUUUGAACUAGUGUAAUAAGUAAUAACCCUACCAAAAAUAAAAAUGUCUAACUAAUUGAAAAACAUAUUUUUGUCUGGAGCAGAAUAAAAAGUUUAGAUAUAUAAUAUAUGCAUACAUAAAAUAAUGUAUUAUAUUUGAUUUGUAAACAUUUAUUUUUACUCAAUAUAAUGUACUCAUGUAAUACACUAAUUAGUAAUUUAUGUAUCUGCUUGAGCGAUAAGUUUUUUUUUCUGUUCUUAUAUCAAAAAAUGUUGAUCAUAUUUAAUGUAAACUCAUUUUAAGGGUAGACCCAUCAACAGGGAUGAAUUAUUGUUUUUAACCACUUGAAAUGUUAUUAUAUUUAUGUUGUACAUUAUAAUAAGAUAUUUAUGUAAAACAAAACAAUAACUAUCAAUUAAUAUGAAGCAUAAUAAUAUAUACAUAUAAAAAUGAUCGUUUAUUGUAGGCGUGUAGGCCUGAUAUUAUAAUAAUAUAUUUUUUUUUAACAUAAAUAAUUGUCCAAUGUCUAUACAAAUCAAAUUUACAAAAUAUUAUGUAUAGUGUUGAUAAUAAGCUUAUACUUAAUACAGAAAAUAAAUUUAUAUAUACACAAUAUAAACAAUAUACAUGUGUUUAUUCAUAUAUAUAUAUAUUAUAUAAUGUAAAAUAUUACGUGUUAAACAAUUAUUGAAUUUGUUUUAUUUCAAUUUUAUUACAGAAUGAGGAUUUCAAAAAAAUAUAUGUUAUAGUUUCA